rnacentral:snoRNA from 1 species
AACCAAAGUGUUGAGUUCAGUUCGGGGUGUUGCCCCUGUUCUGGUAAUUAAGCUUUGGGACAGUGAGUGACUGAGAAGUACACCAUGGUGACUGAAAGUUUGUUUUAUGCCACCUGUGUUUCUCAGCCUACAAAC